rnacentral:rRNA from 1 species
UACGGAGGACUCGAGCGUUAUCCGGAUUUAUUGGGUGUAAAGGGUGCGUAGGCGGACUGGUAAGUCAGCUGUGAAAGUUUACGGCUCAACCGUGGAAUUUCAGUUGAUACUGUUGAUCUUGAGUACACAUGAGGUGGGCGGAAUUUGUGGUGUAGCGGUGAAAUGCUUAGAUAUCACAAAGAACUCCAAUUGCGAAGGCAGCUCACUGGGGUAUAACUGACGCUGAUGUACGAAGGUGUGGGUAUCAAACAGG